GACGAACCGGGCGAACGUUAUUCGGAAUCACUGGGCGUAAAGGGUGCGUAGGCGGUCUUGUGCGUCGGCGCUGAAAUCACACGGCUCAACCGUGUGGCGCGUGCCGAUACGACGAGACUUGAGGCUCUGAGAGGGUGGCGGAACUCCUGGUGUAGUGGUGAAAUGCGUAGAGAUCAGGAAGAACACCCGUGGCGCAAGCGGCCACCUGGCAGAGUUCUGACGCUGAGGCACGAAAGCGUGGGGAGCGAACCGG
rnacentral:rRNA from 1 species